UACGUAGGGGGCUAGCGUUGUCCGGAAUCACUGGGCGUAAAGGGCGCGUAGGCGGCCUGAUAAGUCGGGGGUGAAAUCUUGCGGCUUAACCGCAAGGCUGCCUUCUAAACUGUCAGGCUAGAGCACAGUAGAGGCAGGUGGAAUUCCCGGUGUAGCGGUGGAAUGCGUAGAGAUCGGGAAGAACAUCAGUGGCGAAGGCGGCCUGCUGGGCUGUUGCUGACGCUGAGGCGCGACAGCGUGGGGAGCAAACAGG
rnacentral:rRNA from 1 species